rnacentral:rRNA from 1 species
CCUACGGGUGGCAGCAGUGAGGAAUAUUGGUCAAUGGACGAGAGUCUGAACCAGCCAAGUAGCGUGAAGGAUGACUGCCCUAUGGGUUGUAAACUUCUUUUAUAUGGGAAUAAAAUGUUCCACGUGUGGGAUUUUGUAUGUACAAUAUGAAUAAGGAUCGGCUAACUCCGGGCCAGCAGCCGCGGUAAGACGGAGGAUCCGAGCGUUAUCCGGAUUUAUUGGGUUUAAAGGGAGCGUAGGUGGAUUGUUAAGUCAGUUGUGAAAGUUUGCGGCUCAACCGUAAAAUUGCAGUUGAAACUGGCAGUCUUGAGUACAGUAGAGGUGGGCGGAAUUCGUGGUGUAGCGGUGAAAUACUUAGAUAUCACGAAGAACUCCGAUUGCGAAGGCAGUUCACUGGACUGCAACUGACACUGAGGCUCGAAAGUGUGGGUAUCAAACAGGAUUAGAUACCCCAGUAGUC